rnacentral:rRNA from 1 species
GGGAAUAUUGGACAAUGGGCGCAAGCCUGAUCCAGCAAUGCCGCGUGUGUGAAGAAGGUCUUCGGAUUGUAAAGCACUUUCGACGGGGACGAUGAUGACGGUACCCGUAGAAGAAGCCCCGGCUAACUUCGUGCCAGCAGCCGCGGUAAUACGAAGGGGGCUAGCGUUGCUCGGAAUGACUGGGCGUAAAGGGCGCGUAGGCGGCUUGUACAGUCAGAUGUGAAAUUCCCGGGCUUAACCUGGGGGCUGCAUUUGAUACGUGCGGGCUAGAGUGUGAAAGAGGGUCGUGGAAUUCCCAGUGUAGAGGUGAAAUUCGUAGAUAUUGGGAAGAACACCGGUGGCGAAGGCGGCGACCUGGUUCAUGACUGACGCUGAGGCGCGAAAGCGUGGGGAGCAAAC